CCCUGCGAUGGAUAGGCAACCCCGUCCAGGGUCGGGGGUUCGAUUCCCACCGUGGCCCUGUGUGUGUGGAGUUUCCGUGCUGCGAGGGUUUCCUCCGGGUACUCCGGUUUCCUCCUCCAGUCCAAACACACGCAUGGUAGGCUGAUUGUCGUGUCCAAAGUGUCCGUAUUGUAUGAAUGGAUGUGUGAGUGUGUAUGUGAUUGUGCCCUGAUGUAUUGGCACCCUGUCCAGGGUGUACCCCGCCUUGUGCCCCAUGCUCCCUGGGAUAGACUCCAGGUUCCCCGUGACCCUGAAAAGCAUAAAGCGGUAUAGAAGAUGGAUGGAUGGAUGGAUGGUAACUACUUAGACAGAGACUUGUACCGUAUAAUAGCCAUUCCACAUUAAUGAAUUUAAAAGCUAUGUGCGAGGAUUUACCGUAUAUGGUGGAUGAGGACAUGUUUAUUUAGUGUCAGCGCUUUGUAACACUCACAGGUACAUUCCACACUCCUAUCACUAACCACAUUUCCUUUUUAAUUUCACUGCAGUGACUGAAUUCAAAAAGUUCCUACAACCUUACCAUACGUUCAUACAUACAGCGACUGGAGACCAUUCAUUUUCAGUGAGAGCUAGCGACUUCUGGCGACCUGAGUGACAGCAACCAUUGGUGACUAGACGUGGGCGUGUCCAGCGAAAGUUGAGAAAAGUUCAACUUUAUGCAAAUUUGGUGAAGCGACUUGCUGCAGCGACUACCAAUGGGAGCGAAGACAGUAGAGCUCAUGUGAGUCGUGAUCCGCCAUGCUGCCUGCGAGUCCAAAUUUUGUUUCAUGGACCCAGAGAGUCUGGCACUCGCGCUUUUCGCCGCUGAUAGAUGACCGCAAAGGCAAAGAGCUCACACUGCUUCUCCUUCAUCUCGUAGGAUAUGAUGCACACUGGUGAAUUUUAUAUCCAAACGCUUUUUCCCUCCAGAAUGUUUUAUUUUAGCAGCAGGAAAAUGCGAAUGCUAGUUGCAACACACACUGGUAAAUGUUACUAUGGCAACCAGUAGUAGAAACGCUCACUGGUGACUUCAUAAAACAAUGACUGGCGACUGAACGUGUGAGCGUACCUUAAGUCAUGAAAAUAACUAAAUGAUUAUGCUUUAUGAUGAAUAACUAAAUAAAAAACUCUUAUGAUAUUAUUAUGACACUAUAGUUAGUUGCUAUAUGACUGAAAGACUCCCCAAAAGGGUUUUUAGACUGGUGACCUUCAGACCCUGACCUCGUGAACUAGCAUGAGCAUGUUUCUGAUCGGGACUACAAAGCACUUCUGUAAGUCACUCUGGAUAAGAGCGUCUGCCAAAUAUCAUAAAUAUAAACAGAAAACUGUAGAAUGAGACAUUCUCGUUCAGGUGAAGGAACAACCAAAGAAUGGAAGUUAAGUACUUUUCCAAGACUGAAACGUAGCCACACAUCCCGCGAUAAAUUACACAGAUAUUAAUACUGCAGGAUUUCCUUUCAAAGUUUGUGAGUUUCAUAUGUGUUCGCUAAAGGAAUGACAUAAAGGAAAUCCAUAACAGACCACAAAAACACAUCAGUAUCAAUAAAUUGAUAAAUAAACACAGUCUGAAUUUACAGACAGACAGACAGACAGACAGAUAGAUAGAUCGAUAGACAGAUCAAUAGAUAGAUAGACAGAUAGUUGAUAGAUAGAUAGGCAGAUAGUUAGACAAACAGACAGAUAGACAGACAGAUAGACAAAUAGAUAGACAGAUAGAUAGAGAUAGAUAGAUAGAUAGAUAGAUAGAUAGAUAGAUAGAUAGAUAGAUAGAUAGGCAGACAGUUAUACAAACAGACAGAUAGACAGAUAGAUAGAUAGAUAGAUAGAUAGAUAGAUAGAUAGUUAGACAAACAGACAGAUAGACAGGUAGAUAGAUAGACAGAUAGAUAGAUAGGCAGAUAGUUAGACAGACAGACAGAUAUAUAGAUAGAUGGAUAGAUAGAUAGUUAGACAAACAGACAGAUAGAUAGAUAGAUAGACAGAUAGGCAGAUAGAUCAAUAGAGAGAUAGAUAGGCAGAUAGAGAGAUAGAUAGACAGACAGAUCGAUAGAUAGACAGAUAGGCAGAUAGUUAUACACAUAGACAGAUAGAUGGAUAGAUAGAUAGAUAGAUAGAUAGAUAGAUAGAUAGAUAGAUAUAUAGAUAGAUAGAUAGAAGAAGCCUAUAUUUGCCAUUUAUACAUUACAGCACAGUGAAAUUCUUUUCUUUGCUUACCCCAGCAUGUCAGGAAGUUGGGGUCAGAGUGCAGACUCAGCUAUGAUACAGCGCCCCCUGGAGCAGAGAGGGUUAAGGGCCUUGCUCAAGGGCAAAACAGUGGCAGAGUGGCAGUGCUGGGGCCUCCGACCUUCUGAUCAGUAACCCAGAGCCUUAUCCGUUGAGCCACCACUACCCUUUAAUAGAUUGAUAGAUAGAUGGACAGACAGAUAGACAGACAGACAGACAGACAGACAGAUAGGUAGGUAGGUAGAUUGACUGAUUUCAGGAACAGGACUGGGGAAGCCUACUACACCGUAUUUACCCUUCUUUACCUUGUGGAAUCCCUGAGCUUUAUUAGAUUUGAGGCUUUCAUAUUGUUGUCAAGUUAUUAAAGGUCAUCCAAUGACCUAAAAUCUCCAUCCAUCCCACCAUCUCAGUCUCUCCAUUUCCCUGUCUGAGUCUCUCAGUAUGACUAAGUUUUGCUCUUAUUUCCCUUUUCAUUAUGAUUCAAAGUCAGUGCGCUUUUUAGUCUGCUGUGCUGGUGGGGGGCGUCUGUACUCUCUGUGGGAACAGGCAGCCAUUUUGGCUGCAUACAGCGAACCUGAUGGCGUAAAUACGGCUGCCAUCAAUCAAUCCCUGGAGCCCUGCAGCGACACCAUCCCUAAUCUCUCCCUCACUCUUGCAUUCACUCUCUGAGUACCAUUUAAAGGCACAUGGCUCUGAAACAAAGCACCAGUGACCUAAAUGACAGUGAUCAGAAAGUCUGUACACCUAUAAUAGAGCUAGCAUGAAUUAUUCAGCAAAAUAUGAAUAACUUCUUCACCGGUCAGGGUGAACCAUUUAUUCACAAUGGACAGGUUCUGCAGUAUAACCCGUACGGGUUAUACGGGUCUCGGCAUGCUUCUUUUUUUUUUUUUUUUUUUUUUAAUUUCUACACUUAACCAGCGAUGAUUACGUAGAUCAUGAUUUUGAUAUAACCGUGAGAGAUGGGAAAAUAAUGGAAGGAGGAGAUGGGGAACACAUGGCUUGCAGUAUGAUCCAAUGUUCUCUGGAAUAAGUGAAACCGCCAGUUUAGAUGAGGAAACAGCUGUGAGUCUGUAGGUAGCUUAAUCAAAAUGAGCAUGCAAACCAAGUGUUCAGACAGUACCUGUCAGAGUAGUGCUGUUUCUCACAUCGUGCACACUAUCACUGUCACGACUCUCACGCUACACUGUCCUUAAACUUUGCCUAUUUGGGAUGUAAGUGCUUUACACGAAUACUGAUUUUAGGUGCAGUGACGGGGAUUGUGAGGGUGUUUGUUAGAACUCUACUUUAUAACAAAGACCUCGUAAUUUGCUGCUUAUGUGAGAUUGAAACUUGUAUUAAGAAGUCCUCACCACUGGGUUUGUGUACUAAAAAAAAGAGAGUACCAAAUAGGCAAAUAUUUGUGAUACGUUUCAAUAAAUACCUUAACCUAGUAGGUGCAAGGUCAGGUUUUACAUCAAUACUCUAAAGAAUAUUGGAGGGAUUUAUUUAAAGAACAGGGAUCUAUCAGAGUCUGAUAGUUUGUGGAAGUGUAUCAUGGCACGAACAAAGGAGAUUUCUGAGGAAGUUGUUGACGCUCAUCAGGCUGGAAAAGGUCACAAAACCAUCUCUAAUGAGUUUGGACUCCACCGAUCUACAGACAGACAUAUUGUGUACAAAAGGAGGAGAUUCAAGAUCAUCGUUUUCCUCCACAGGAGUGAAGACCAUCAAAGAUCACUCCAAGAGCAAGACGUGUAAUAGUCUGCGAGGUCAUAAAGGAACCCAGGGUAACUUCUAAGCAACUAAAGGCCUCUCUCUAAUUGGCUAAUGGUAAUGUUCAUGAGUCCACCAUCAGGAGAACACUGAACAACGAUGGUGUGCAUGGCAGGGCUGCAAGGAGAAAGCCACUGCACUUCAAAAAGAACACUGCUGCCCAUCUAAAGUAUACUAAAGGUCACGUGGAGAAGCCAGAAGGCUAAUGGAAAUAGGUUUUGUGGACGGAUGAAAAGCUUUGGUUGUUGUCGUGUUCAUGUGUUGCUCCUCAUAGCCUGCAUGUUUUUGCCUUGCUUCCAUUGUUUCCAUUUAUGGUUCUUAUUCUCACAGUUUUGGUUGUUUGUUUUGCGCUUCAUACAAUAAAAAUCCGCACUUGCUUCUGCCACCUCUGCACAUACCUGACAGUAUAAUCGAAACCCUUGCACUGUACUUAAAUUUUGGAAGCUCUGGCUAGACAAACACAUUCAAAAGAUAAACCUCAUCAGUAAAUUUCACAUUCCCUACCACCGGCAUUCUUUUAAACCUGAAUACUUAGCACAGACUGCACCAGGAUCUGGAGAAAAAUUAGUUCUGUGCUAUUUUAAACAGGACAAGAAUUACACUCAACAUGUCUAACCGCACUCCAGAUUUGAGGAUGAGGUUUAACAUGCAACAAUGUUUAAAUGGUACUGAGUUUGUCAUGACAAGCAUCAUGACUGAAGAAUUGUGGGUAUACAUCAGUAGGGAAAAUUACAUGUACUAUCUGGAAUUACAGCUCAACACAAAAUGGGUUUUCCAAAUGACAAAGGUCUUAAUAUUCCUGAAAUGGCAUGAGCGCUGAUGUGACAAGCAGCUUAGCUGUAAAUGGAAAUGAUUUAUGCUAGGUCUUCAUUAGUUUGGGUGGUGUGGUUAGAGAUUAAGAAUUGUCUCUUGAUUUUUUACAUUUAACUGAAGAUUCAUCUUCAUUGAUUCGCAGAAAUGUCUGGCAUAUUUAAUAAUCAAUAAAGUAUGUUUAAAACAGCAAAAAACUUUUCUUUUUUUUUUUUUUAAACAUGUUCCAACUUGUCCAACAGUGAAUACUGCAGGAAUGUCUGGUCCACUUGGGGGCGCACGGUGGCUUAGUGGUUAGCACGUUCACCUCACAUGUCCAGGGUCGGAGGUUCGAGUCCCACCACGCAUGUUCUCCCCGUGCUCCGGUUUCCUCCCCCAGUCCAAAGACAUGCAUGGGAGGUUGAUUGGUGUGUCUAAAGUGUCUGUAGUGUAUGAAUGGGUGUGUGAGUGUGUAUGUGAUUGUGCACCCUGUCCAGGGUGUACCCUGCCUUGUGCCCCAUGCUCCCUGGGAUAGACUCCAGGUUCCCCGUGACCCUGAAAAGGAUAAAGCGGUAUAAAAGAUGGAUUGGUCCACUUGGGCUACUCAAGGUCCUAGGAGUUCAUUGUCACAUUUCCACCCCAAACGCUGCUAGAUAUAAUAUUUUGAAACAAACGCAGUGACACAGAAAGCCUGUGGAUGGUUUAUUGACCAUUUUUGAACGGCGUGUGAGCGGAAAGGAGGCCAGCUGAAACUUAAGAAGUGAGGUGAGCAGACAGGAGCUGAAUGCUAAUUGAAAUGAAAAAGGUCAGAGCUGAAAGGCAUAACCCAUCCCCACAGCACCUCCCUUUGCUGGCUGGAGCUGUGGAGGUUCUCAUCAUCUACUAUUACGACUCCCUGACAGCGGUGAAUUUCUCCAUACUGGAAAUCAAUACAGGUGGAAUGUAAAAAGAGGUCUUCAACGAUCUUUAGCAUUCCAGACUCGUCUGACUGAAAGAUAUUGUUACCUCUUACACGCAAGUUAUCAAUCUAUAAACCCACAAAUUUGAUCAUAUGACCACAUAAGGUGAGGGGUGUUAUUACUUCUAGAGAGAGAUAGAGAGAGAGAGAGAUCUAAAAGGGAAAUCUAAAUUAGUGGCAAUUAUGUGCAGCGUUUAACUCCUCAACAAAAGUACUUU
ensembl:lncRNA